rnacentral:rRNA from 1 species
GACGAACGCUGGCGGCGUGCCUAAUACAUGCAAGUCGAGCGCAGGAAACUGACGGAACUCUUCGGAGGGAAGGCAGUGGAAUGAGCGGCGGACGGGUGAGUAACACGUAAGGAACCUGCCUCUAGGAUUGGGAUAACUCCGAGAAAUCGGAGCUAAUACCGGAUAGUUCAUCGGACCGCAUGGUCCGUUGAUGAAAGGCGCUCCGGCGUCACCUUGAGAUGGCCUUGCGGUGCAUUAGCUAGUUGGUGGGGUAACGGCCCACCAAGGCGACGAUGCAUAGCCGACCUGAGAGGGUGAUCGGCCACACUGGGACUGAGACACGGCCCAGACUCCUACGGGAGGCAGCAGUAGGGAAUCUUCCACAAUGGACGAAAGUCUGAUGAGCAACGCCGCGUGAGUGAUGAAGGUUUUCGGAUCGUAAAACUCUGUUGUAAGGGAAGAACACGUACGAGAGGGAAUGCUCGUACCUUGACGGUACCUUACGAGAAAGCCACGGCUAACUACGUGCCAGCCGCCGCCGUAA